CGCGGAUUGAUGUAAUGGCAGCAUACUGGUUUCCUUAGCCAAUAGUGGUGGUUCAAAUCCACUGUCCGCAA
rnacentral:tRNA from 3 species